GACGAACGCUGGCGGCGUGCUUAACACAUGCAAGUCGAGCGGUAAGGCCCUUUCGGGGGUACACGAGCGGCGAACGGGUGAGUGACACGUGGGNGACCUGCCCUCAGCUCUGGGAUAAGCCUGGGAAACCGGGUCUAAUACCGGAUAUGACUCCAUGACGCAUGUUGUGGGGUGGAAAGCCUUGUGCGGCUGAGGAUGGGCCCGCGGCCUAUCAGCUUGUUGGUGGGGUGANGGCCUACCAAGGCGACGACGGGUAGCCGGCCUGAGAGGGCGACCGGCCACACUGGGACUGAGACACGGCCCAGACUCCUACGGGAGGCAGCAGUGGGGAAUCUUGCGCAAUGGGCGAAAGCCUGACGCAGCGACGCCGCGUGAGGGAUGACGGCCU
rnacentral:rRNA from 1 species